rnacentral:misc_RNA from 1 species
AAGUCGUAACAAGGUUUCCGUAGGUGAACCUGCGGAAGGAUCAUUAUUGAAGCUUUUGAGAGCGGGUUCGACGCUGGCCCUCCGGGGCAUGUGCUCGCCCGCUUGAUAAAUCCGCUCAACCCCUGUGCACCCUCGCCGAGACCUCGGGGCCUUCUGGCCUCGAACUCGGCUACACACAAACACCUUAAAAGUCUAUUGGAAUGUAAAUCUUUGAAACAUAAUACAACUUUCAACAACGGAUCUCUUGGCUCUC